rnacentral:lncRNA from 1 species
GGUCUCCUCGCCCUCACCCGCUGUGUGUAGCAGCAGAGCGAGAGUGGUGUCUCUAUUUGUGCGUUUGUGUUCGAUUAGCUGCAAUGGGCGGACAGUUUCUGGAGAGAGCAUUUACAAUUUUCUUUCGUUCUGACAGGAUUAGUUGCUGUUGAAGGGGGCUCCGCCAAUGAAAUCUUCUCUGCGUUCUGAUUUGGCGGUUCUUCGGUGCAAAUAUGACAGCUUUCUCUCUCAGCUCUUUUCUGCAUCUCUCCAUGUCCGACCCCGGAGCCCAGUUCUCGGUCUGCAAUUUCUACACCACAACCUUUGCAAUCACCACCACCCCUAGGUCCCAUGUCAGCAGGUGCCAGGUUGCUACAAAGGUGACAGGGCACAUUGGGAAGAAGGCUUGUUGAUUGCAGAAGAUACUUAUGCCCCGUGUUUCCAGUGCUAUGAAGUGCAAUGAGCUGGCCUGAGACUGUCAGAUGGAUUCUCCAGGGAAAGUGUUUUCCAGGAGCUUGCCAUGAACUGGAUUUAAGCAGGAGACAUUUACAGAAAGCUGCAAAUGAUCAAAACGCAGAGAGUAACUGACUGUGGGUGCCUAGCCCUAACUGAUACAUCCACAAUAUGACCUUACACCCAAGACUCAAGAAACAUGGAAGAUGUUCAGAAAGGUUACAAGAGCCAGAAGCCUAGCAAAGACAACUUAGAUGUGUGUGACCUGCAUCACCUAAGGAACAGGACAAAGUAUGGAGAGCAGCCUCCUACUUGGGAAAAUUGGACCAGAACAAUGGCUCUUCCAGUGCCUGUUCUUUCACUCCUGUUUUGUGUUGUGGAGAAGGUAAUGAAGGACUAAAUUACCUCUCAGUUCUGUUGUAAUACCAACAUUUAUAUACCUGUGACAUUUAGGAAUCACACAAGCCUAAACACAAUUACUGAAAUACGUUGUGGAUGGCUCUUUGAUCCUAAAUGUUCUUUUCAUUGUGUACUUUGCUAAGAAGAAAGGGAAGGGAAGGAAAUCCCUCAUCCCAAAAUUUCCCAGAAGGGAGCUACUAGUCUGCCUGAUGCAGAAAAUUGUAGAAGCUAUCUAAAUAAGGAUAAGGGACAAAAUUACAGCAGCUACUCAUCUCUGUGCUAAAAUUUCCACUCCUUCAUUUUAUUUUUCAAAUCAGUAUACAAAGUAUUAGUUAUCGUAACAUUUGGAAAGAUUUUAUUUUAUUUUAUUUUAUUUUAUUUUAUUAUCAUAUGUGUGAGGAAGGGUGCUUUGUCUGCAUGUAUGUUUGUGCACCACAUUUGCCUAGUGUUCCUGGAGCAGAGAAGAUAUCAGAUCUCUUGUAAUUGAAGGCUGAGAGCUAUGAUGUAGGUGCUGGGAAUCAAACCCAGGGUUCUCUGCAAGAGCAGCAAGUGCUCUUGACCACUGAACCACGUCUUCAAACCCACAUUAUGACACUUAAGUAUUACAGUAAACCAUCCUUACCCUCAAUUUCCCACUGAGCCGUUAUUUCCCUGCCAUUGUAACUCCCAUCUUCAUAUCACAUGUGUCUUACUACCGCACAAACAUGACUUCCUCAGCACCAUUUUACACACACCUCCUUGAUCUCUUUUUGCAGUUAUUUAGGACUGUCCACUUCUACACAAUUUUUAUAUACAGAUGCAUGCAAGUCAAGCUAUGGCUGUGCAUGAGAGAUAGUGCAUGUGUUUUUUAUCUUUUGAGAUUGGGCAGUGUUGUUUACUAUUAUACUUUCCACAAGCAUUUUACUGCAAAUCUUACAAUUUUGUUUUUCUUUACAAUUAAGUAAAUUUACAUUACACACACACACACACACAGAGUCACCAUACUUUUGUUUUCCAUUUAUCUGGUGAUGGAUAUAUGUAUAAUUUCAUAGACACAUGUACAAACCCACAGGGAUACCCUAACAAGAUGUUUAACAAGCAUGAUGAUAUCCCCAUAGAUUCAGUGAUAUUGACAGAGUAGUUAAACAUGUGAGUGGCUUGGUAAGCAAUCAGGAGAGAAGAGAGGCAAGGAGAUCAGGAGAGAUUAUAUGCAAAGGAACCACGAGAGGCCCCAUAAUGACCCAGUUACACUAGACUGCACUAGCGGUUCUUGAAUUGGAUUAGAACAUGAACAACUAGUUUUACAAGCCAAAGAGAUUAUCCUCAAUUUGGCAAGUGGAGAUUCUAAAUUUAUCUAUGCUAUUUAGAGCCAACAUACGCAAUGAUGUUUGGCCUUCCCCAGGUGCUGGCUGUCUGAUACCAACUGAGACAUUUAAACGGAAAAGAUUACAUUUGCUGGUUAUUUAUUUUCUCAAGAAAAUGAAGAAACCCUUAGUUCCC